CCUACGGGUGGCUGCAGUGGGGUAUAUUGCACAAUGGGCGCAAGCCUGAUGCAGCCAUGCCGCGUGUGUGAAGAAGGCCUUCGGGUUGUAAAGCACUUUCAGCGGGGAGGAAGGCGGUGAGGUUAAUAACCUCAUCGAUUGACGUUACCCGCAGAAGAAGCACCGGCUAACUCCGUGCCAGCAGCCGCGGUAAUACGGAGGGUGCAAGCGUUAAUCGGAAUUACUGGGCGUAAAGCGCACGCAGGCGGUCUGUCAAGUCGGAUGUGAAAUCCCCGGGCUCAACCUGGGAACUGCAUUCGAAACUGGCAGGCUAGAGUCUUGUAGAGGGGGGGAGAAUUCCAGGUGUAGCGGUGAAAUGCGUAGAGAUCUGGAGGAAUACCGGUGGCGAAGGCAGCUACCUGGACGACUUGUGACGCUGAGGCGCGAAAGCGUGGGGAGCAAACCGGAUUAGAUACCCUUGUAGUC
rnacentral:rRNA from 1 species